rnacentral:lncRNA from 1 species
GGACAGUGAAAAAAAGGGAUUUAUAAAUAAAAUCUAUGCCAUCCAGGAGGUAUGUGUGAGUAUCCAGAACAUCCUAGAUGAAGUGGCUUCCUUUGGCGAAAGGAUAAAGAAGUGAGUGAUGCUGACAUGUGAGCCCUGGCCUUCUGUGGGACAGGGUAUCCAUUUAUUUCUUGAAGGGUGAAAUGCCACAUUCAUUUUGGCAGGACAUACUCCUUCUGGGUGAUCUAUUGCUCAGUUUCAUCAUCAUUUACUUUGUUUCUGCCAGUCUUUGGUUUUAUGAAAGUUCUGUCAAUUUCUUCCCUGAAAUUUAGAACAUAUUGGUUGGAAAGAAGUCAUACUUGUAGCUUUGAAGAAAUAACACCAUCCUAAAUUUUAGCACAUUUUUCACAGUGAAAGACUUUGUUCUUAAAUGGAAUAUGCAAUCAUGAUAGAAAAAAAUAAAUCAAGCUAAAUGAUGAUUUCAGGUAAUGAAUACACUUGUAUUUUAUUAUUGGUCUAGUUAUAGUUUCAAGUUACUCUAUAUUUAAAAAAAAUAUUAUGUAUAGCACCCUACAGAAAUAUUCCUAUACUCUAUUCCUCCCGCCCACCUCAGGAAUUGAACCUAGAGGUGCUUUACCACUGAACCAUAUCCCCAGCCCUUUGUAUUUUUUUUAUUUUGAGACAGGGCCUAAGUUGGUUAUGACCUCACUAAAUUGGGGAGGUUGUCUUGAACUUGAGAUCCUCCUGACUUAGCCUCCCAAGUCACUGGGAUUACAGGCCUCCAUGCCCGGCCCUAAACUCAGAUAUUUUAGUUUAAAUAUCUGAGAUCAUAAUUAUCAAUGAAACAAACUUUUGCCAUCUAGAAAAAUCGCAGAAUUUUUAUACUUAAAAAUUCGAAUCUUGGGCUGGGGAUGUGGCUCAAGCAGUAGUGCGCUCGCGGCGCUGGGUUCAAUCCUCAGCAUAAAAAUAAAGAUGUUGUGUCCACCGAAAACUAAAAAAUAAAUAUUAAAAAAUUCUCUCUUUUUUAAAAAAAUAUUAGAAUCUUAAUUUUUUAUACAGCUUCAUUGAGAGCUAACAUAAAAUUAAGGAACUUACUUUAUCUUAUUGUUUUAUUAUUUUAUUUACUAAUACAUUUUUAAAAAUUAGCCAGGUGUGGUGGUACAUGCCUAUAGUCCCAGCAACUUGGGAGGCUGAGGUAGAAGGAUUUCAAGUUCAAGGUAAGCCUGGGCAGCUUAGUGAGACUGUCUCAAGGUUAAAAAUUAAAAAGGACUUAAAAGGCCUGGGGUUGUAGCUCUAUAGUAAAUUGCCUCUAGGUUCAAUCACCAAUACCCCCUCCCCCGAAAAAAGUUUACUUAGGAAAAAAAAAACCGGUAAGGUGAAUUUACAGUAAUUGGUUAUGAGUUGAAGCCAUGCUAAGGCCUCAUAAACUACAUGAAACUGGCCUGUGUAAUGAUUGCUAAUGAUCUAGUCAAGAAGGGGUACAAUGUAUCUGGAUAAGCCUGGUUUUCUUAGUUUAAAUAUCAAUCUUUUUUAUUGAUAACCUAAAGUAUUCUGCAGAUUUAGAUCCUUGGACAUACACAGAAUUUGAAAGGAGUCAAUUAUUUAAACAAAAGGUGUGAAUCAUUCAUUGGUCCUUUCUCUCUCGCUCGCAAAUGUACCCCUAAACAAUAUUCAGCCUUGGACUUUAAAAGACUCACUCCCACGCCUUUUCUCUCUCCUUCUUCCUCCCUGUGCUAUUUCUAAGAAUGUUCCCUGUACUCUCUACCCUAUCCACUGAAGCAUAGUGUGGCCUAAAUUUGGGGCAUUGGUAGCCCUAAAUUUGGGACAUUCUUUUUACUUUUCUCCGGAGUACAUCAUAUACUGAUAAUGUGAUGGAAACCUCUCAUUUAUACCAGAAGACCAUGGAUCAGCUCUGAGAUCAGACUAAUGAACACCUGAGGGAAAGAAAGCUUUUUUAACUCUGAAUGGUGGGAGGACUCAAACAGAGAACAUGAUAGCUAGCUGAAGGAUAUGAUCAGAGUCUGGAGGUGGACCAGCUCUGGGGGAACCUGGGCUUUGUAGAAUUUUCUGUGCUGAGGUACAGGAAUAUGGCAUAAGAUUGAGUAAGUCUUACAGGAGCUAUAUCUUCUGUAAAACAAUAUUUUGGAUACCAAAAAAGCAAAGUUCCCCUGGGGUCACAUAAGAUUAAAAACAUCAUCCAGAAAGCAGAUUCAGAAGUGAUCUUUAAGCACAAAAUGAAAUCUCUAUAAACACCAUGUCUUGUUACUAAAUAAUCAUUCCAGAACUUUCUUGAAUUGCAACUCUUUUUUGGGGAAGAGCAUAUUCUAGAUUUAGAUUCCAUAAUGCAAAAUGUAGAAACAGAAAAGGGCAAGCUUUUUUCCCUACCACUAGCUACAGUGGUGAGGAUUCUUUGCCAUCUAUCCUUCCAAUAAGAGAAAGAAAAACACAGGGAGUCCUUCAGUGGGGCUGCCCAGAAGGAAGGUUUUCCAAACGAAGUGCCAGUGCCCUCACACAUGGAGUGGUGUGAUGGAUGGCUCUGAACUGAGCCGUAGGAAAGAAAGCCUUCUGUUCUCUCCACAAGCAGGCAGAAGCAAGGAAAGCACAGGUGUCCAUCAAGGAAGUAAAGCAUGAACCUUACCUACUGACACAGUCUCAGGAUGCUCACUCUGACCAUAAGAGGAAAAAACAAAGAAAAGCCAAAAAUCCAAGGGUUAUUGAAAACAGGACAGCCAACUUAUCCAAUUUUGAAUCAACUUAUCCAACUUUGGAUCGUUUACUAGAACAAACAAUUUUAGGUAACAAUGAACCUAGGGAGACACAAAAAAGCAAGCUAAAAGACAUAAAGCUAAGGAACAACUCUUAUGUGUUAAGCUGAGGUAUAGUAUAGGAAAAAAAUUUCUUAGUAAUCACCCUUCAUUGGAUCAAAACUGCCCUGACAAACCCCACUCCAAAUGACUAUAACAUGCAUUACCAAGAAAUUAGAAGAAAUAAAUUUUGUAUUUUCUGAAUUGUGUUUGGAGUCCUUCUCACUGGAAGAAAUGACACACUUUAGACUCCUGGAGUUGAUUAUCUCUGAUCACCUUGAAUCACAUAAAUAUGCUGCAUCACAACCAAUCUUUCUUGAUAUAACAGAAGCUAUCCUAAUGUUCUAAAGGAGAUAACCUAGGGUUAGAGAUGUUGACUCAUACAACAGAAUCCAGGCUUUGAAUAUAGAUCUCUUUACUUCUUGGCUCAUUUCAUGAAACUACUGUUAGACUCAGUAGACACAAUAUGUUAGUUUCUCUUUGGUACUGAACAUUAUAGAGAUUUCAAAAAAAAAUGCAAUGGUGUAUCUGUAAAUAGUGAUGUUUAUGUAUACCUAACCUAGAGGCUCAAUGCAUUUCUAUUUAUUCUAUAAUUUUGUUAUCUGAGAUUCAUCACAGAACUUCUACACAGAAAGCCUUAAAUAGAAUCUUUCCAUCUUUCAUUUCCUUGAUUCUCUACACUCUUUUAAAAAAAGUUCUACAUCAUCUUUUUUGUGUGUGUGUCUUCAUUUUCCCUGUUGUUCCACUAAAUUAUUUCCCCAUUUCCUUACUUUUUGUAACAUCCCCUACUCUUGUUCAUUGAUCCUGUUUCUGCUUUUAUCAUGUCUUACUGUUAAUACUUACUGUCUUGUAGCCCUCUGGGACCAAGUCCUCCACGUUAUCAAUCACCAGCAGUAUAGCAACACUACAGACCCAUUAACCCCAGCCUACUAUAAGCAUACUUUUCCAGUUUGUAUUCCCUUUUCACAGUUUAUCCUACAAAUCCAUCAUGUGCCAUUCUCUCCCAAAGUACUAGAGGGAGAAUAACAGGCAAUGCUGAUGUUAUUUCUUAAUUACCUAUCUAUUCCUGAGGAGAAGGGCAAUAAUAGCAGGUAAAGCUUUAUAAGGUUAAUUGCUUUGUCCCCCUUUCCUUAUUUAUAAUUCCAUUUGAAACAUAACUGAGUAAGAAUUCUAAAAUUUAGAGGGUUUAUAUCAAAGUAUAAGAACUGUGUCUAUAGACAACUGCUAGAAACAUUUUAUUCCCAAUGUGGGAAAAACUGAGUGAAGGUUGGUAGAGGGAAGAAUGCCCAGGGUAGUUCCACUCCUAAAAAACAAAACAAAACAAAAACAAAGAAAGAAAAGGAGGCUGGGUAUUAGUUUUAGCAGGAGAAAAAUGAAUCUUUUUACCAUGUGUGGAGUCACACAAACAGUACAAUAGCUCUUUUUGCUAAAGAGUUAGGUAAUAGAAUGUUAGUUCCUCUUUGAUAAGUGAAUUACAUAGAUUUCAAAGAGUACAAGUGAUUAGACUCUGAAGUUGUCCACUACAAUCCAAGUGGGCUUCUAUAUUCAUGGAAUUGAGCAAAUCUUGAGUAACCUGUGUCCUCUGAUAAGCCUACCACAGUUGGCUUCUACUCCAGAGAAAAAUGCAGACUGAUUAGGUUCCAAAUUAGUCAAAAUCACAUUUAUUUUAAUCUUUGUUUGAAAAAGGUGUGAAGUGCUCAGAUUGCUGAUGUGUUAUAUUUUUCACUUAGUACUUUCAACUGGACUGUUCUAUUCUUAUGCUGGCUGGCCAUUGUAGCCCUCUGUGUGUUCACAAUCAUCCUGUACUUCGUUCCACUAUGAUACAUUGUCCUUGUCUGGGGUAAGUAAAAAGUCUUUUUAAAAUUUUUUUUAAGUGUCUUAACUGUUAAGAAUAAACUAUUUUUAAGGGAUGAGUUAUACUCUCAGUAGUUCACUAUAUUUAUGGUCAUGUGGCUAUUCUAUGAUGAAAUGAGACAGAUCAGUUAAAAAUCACAACAGUGUAAAGAUUUAGGUCUACCUGAAAAAUGCAUUUUUCUUAUCUGGCACCAUAGGCUCUAUCAGACUAUAAAGGUGUAGUUGUGCAGAUUCUUCAUAUAUCAAAGUAUAGCUUUGUCUAGAUAUUGUUAUGAUUUAUUUUCACCACUUACACACAAGCAGGAGCAUUUUGAUCCAUAUGAUCCAUUUAGGACAAUAUGCUUUUUUGCUGUGGUACAUUAUUCUGUGGAAAUGUAUGUAAACAUGGUACUGUUUAUGGCUAUUUAAGAGGUCACCUUUAAGAUUCAGGAGAAGGGUUGUUGGCAUUUAUAGGCUUCUUAGGAACAAAAAUACUUGUUUUAUACAUAAUGAACAAGAAUGCUUCUACAAAAAGCUACUUGAAAGGUGAUAUUUUUAAAUCUAAAUUUUAAUAUGAUUUUGCUGCAUGCUAACAAUUCCUACAUACCUAGCUCCAUUUAAGAGAUAAUUUAUUUCAGCAUUCUUUAUAAUGUGUCACCCCCACUUCUUUCGUGACAAAGUUCUUGGUUUACAAAUCCCCUUUUCAGUCUUUAAGAUCUAACAUAUACAACUACAACAUUAAUGACAUAUAUAAACAAGAUGGGGCAGAGUAAGUCUCUACUUGUCCUUACCUACAUACACAUACGUCUAAGAUUGCUAAAGUAAAAUGCAAAGAAUACCAAUGGAUCUUAACUUCAGAAAACAUGUUUACACUGAAAGGAAAGAGAUUAAAGGGAGUUUUUUAUUCUCUGUUUUCAAGACCUUAAAAGAAAUAUUCUGGAAUAAAGUAAUCUGUUGCCAAGGCCUCUACUCUUAAGAUUCCUAUUUCCAUAUUCUUUUUUGGCCCAUCUUUAGCAGGCCUUCCAACCCCUUACCAUCACUUUUAAACAUGGGGUGGGUGACAAUUAUUUUUUCCUAUCUUAAUUACUAUAAUUAACAGAAAUUCAGUUAUGAUACUAUACAAGGAAUGAAGCAUUUCCACCAUAUUCUUAUUUUCUAUUGUAUAUUCAAGCCCUCAUCUGUUGUUCCUUUCUGAUAUUAAAGCAGAUGUUCUAUUAUUGAAGGAAUCAAGGUACAUUAUCAUGUGUGGUAGCUUAUUAACACAACCUAAUAGGGUCACACUUGCCAAGCCAUCUCUGCUACUAAACACCCUCACCAACCCAACCUACUUUCCCAGGUUCUUAGAAACUGGAGGUCAUGGCCAACAUCUGGCUAUGUAACCUAUGGGGCCUCACUGGCUAGCUGUCUUAAAAGUAAUUUUAGAGAAUGUGCUUGGGUCUCUUGUUUCAUCAAAUGAAAUAAAACAAGAAUAUGCUUUCAAUGGUAGGUAGCCAGAAAUAUAAGAAAGUUCUUACAUGAUAAUACAGAGACCAAAGUCAAGAUUCCAGUUCAUUCUGUAUGAACUUCAUGAAGAAGAGUUGAGAUGAUCUAGUUUGUUUCAGUUUUUGUCAGUGUGUUGAUUUCAUGUACAACUAUUUUUUGAGAAAAAGCUGAUAGCAAUCCCUCUCCUAAUGCUUGAAAAAAAUCAAGGUCAUGUGUCUUCUAGGCAUUUAGCUUGCUUAAGGGCAAAACCUCCCCACAAAAAAAGAUAUAUCUUUUAAAAAGGGGAAAGCCAAUCAAGUAGACUUCCUGCCUUAACAAUCUCAAUCUAAAAAUACAGGAAGACAAUUUUCAUCAUAGCCUUAUCAUUCCUUAUAGCUAUGCCCAUUUGUGUCCAAAACAGAAAGCUUUUUUUGCUAAAAAGGAACAAAAUGUGCAAAGAGAAAGAGCAGCAGCUAAGUUGGGAAAAGGGGAGAAGCAGGAAAGCAACAUAGGUUGCUUUAUUCAGUCAAGGUUGAGGGGUAGCAUAUAAGCAAGAUCUUCAAAUCACUGUAAUACUUUUGCCAGACAAAUGCUUUGUAUAACUUCAAACUUUGGAGAUUUCUAUGUUUGACCUAUCAUUUUUUUAGGCAUCAAUAAAUUUACAAAAAAACUUCGGAGUCCAUGUGCAAUUGAUAACAAUGAGCUACUUGACUUCCUUUCCAGAGUCCCUUCAGAUGUACAGGUGGUAUGUAUAAUUAUUACUUUGAUGAAAUGUGGCACUGAGUUGUAACUUUUAUAUCCUUUCAAUGUCAAAGUUUUAGAAAAGCCAGGUAAAGUUAAUAAAGACUGUGGAAGAUUUUCCCAGUCAGGACGUUAGUCAACUUGGAGUGUUAUCCAAGAAAAAUUUAGCAAAGAAUGGCGAGUGUGAAAAUCAGAGUAUGCUGCAUAAAGAACCUACCAGAGGGGCUGGAGUUGUGGCUCAGCAGUAGAGCGCUCACCUAGCACUGAGAGGCCCUGUUCGAUCCUCAGCACCACAUAAUUAAUAAAUAAAUAAAUAAAUAAAUAAAUAAAUAAAUAAAAUAAAGUUAUUGUAUCCAACUACAAUUAAAAAAAUAAAUAUUUUUUUUUUUAUAGAAACCUACCAGAGUUGUCAGGAAGAAUCCUCCUUUACCUAAGUUCAGCUGGAGUUUGUCAUCAUGACCUGAUGGGAGAAAAUAGGACUAUUAAAUGAGAGUAAAAUUUGUCAGUAGACACUUAAGACAAAAAAAUUUAUUUCUAGAGUAUGCACAUUUAAGUGAGUUUUAAAGAUGCAUAUUUUAGAUCACUGAGGGGGAGGAAGCUGACUACUUUUUAAAGAAUGGGGCACAUUUUUAAAAUACUUUGAAAUCCUUCAAGGUUAAAGUCCAUUAAACCAUCAACUAUUUUCAGAAUAAGUUUUUUUUUUUUUAAUCAAAAUCUUUAAGGUGAGUUGUAGCUAAUAACUUUUUCCUGUUUCAGUUCAGUUUUUCAUUUGAUAUGUAUGAGAAUGGGCUGGAUGAAGAUUAAGACAGUAUGCAACAGACAGUAAACUGCAAAGAACCAUUAUCCAGUCCUUCAAAACAGAUUGAGAUAGUUUUGCUUUUCAUGUAUUAUGGUCAGUGAAGACCCUAGCCCAUUACCAAAGUUCACAUCAGGGUUCCAUGAAAUUUUUGGUAGGAUUUCCUUUCUGACUUCUGCUCUAUCAUUCUUAUUGUUUUGUGCAUCCCAGCUGCAGAUCCCAUAAUGCUCUAGAGCAUUCCACCCCCCUCCCCCAGCAUAGUCUUUCAUUGCUUUGCUUUUCCUUCCUUUGCCAGAAAGUGGCCACCUGACCAGUUUUUCUCUGAACUCUGUUUAAACAGGUGCAAUACCAAGAACUGAAACCAGAUCCUUCUCAUAGCCCAUAUAAAAGGAAGAAAAACAAUCUUGGCUAGCCAGCUCCCAGCACUGAGGAGACCAGCAUCUGUUUGGGAAGAUAAAAGAAAAAGCCUUCAGCCUCUGCAGCAUUUCCUUUCUUUCUGCUUUUUAUUUAUUUUGCCUUUUUAUCAUGAUAGAAUUUGUAAAUAUUGUACAAAGGCAUAUGUCUUUGGAAAUAUACUUCCAUUGUACAGACUCAACUUGAUAACAGUUUAACUACUACUGUGUGAAAGUCUUAUUAGCUAUGGAUAAUAAUAUAAUAUACCGAAAGAACAAAUGUAAGGGUGAUAACACUGGAAGACACACACUUCUCUAAUUACAAGUAGAAGAACCAGAAUAUUAGAUAAAAUGCUUAACUCUGAUUAAAAUCAAAUUAACAUUUAAAUUUUAUGUAGAUUUAAAGUUUUUCUUAAAUGUGAAAAAAAAAUAAAAAAUAAAAAAUGUGACUAUUUUUUAUCUGAAAGGUAAUCCAUUACAUUUUUCUAUGUUUUAUACAUUUCAAGAAAGGGCAAAUCCCAAAGUCUGAAUUGAAAAGGACACACUUCAAUCUAAUGUAAAUCCUGUCUUUAGAUCCUGACAUUCACUCCUGUGCAAAUUACUUAGGUAUGACUAGGCUGAUUUUAAACUAAUGAGUGCAGGCACAUUCAACCCCUCAAGAGAAUCUGAGAUUCUGUAAAGAAAAGUUAUAAACCUUCUAUCAUUCCAUCUAAGAACUUAAAAUCUCUCCGGGACUAUAUAACAUAAAUACUGCCAGGUUUAUAAAUGAUUGCCUAUCUGAAUUUUUAUAUCUACCAAAGUUAGUAAAUUAGCAACCCAAUUCAAUUGUCAAAAAUACUAAGCAAAAGAAAUCCAUAUUGCUUUUGGUAUCAAAUUAUGUAUUUGUGCAUCUAAAAACAUUUAAUACUCAAGUGUUCUCACAGAAAAAAAAAUAUUUGAUUUUUCAUUAAGUUCCUGAAAUGCUUUAAUGCAUUCUAUGAUUUUGUUAGUGUGAAUUUAAAUGUAGAGGAGAAUGCAGUGUGCUAAGUGAUAUGCCAGUGUUUCAUUACAUUCAUUUAUGAAAAAAUAAUUCUUGAUAAUAUGAAUGCAUGAGAACCUGUUUUGUAAAAUAAACUGCUUGGGGGGUUGCCUUUAAAAAUGUUUCACUACUUACCAUAGAAUCUAUACUUAAAAACUGCAUUCCCAAGACUCUUACAGUGGCUUUUAUACCUAUCUCCCUGGUAUAUCGAGGGAACAUACCUCUAGAGAAAGAAACCAUUUGGGCAGCGAGAAUCUUACUUCUCUAACUUGGUAGGCAACUUUAGCUCAGUUGAAACUGCUGCAGACAAUGUUUUGCACUACUUUCUUAAUAAUAGACUGGGAUAGGGAAUAAUAGACUGGUGGGGAUUAUGUUGGAAGAUGUAGAAAAGCAGAAAAUAUAUAUUUCACGCUAAAGGAAGAUUCUUUAAAUAAUAAACAAUCUCAUCAAAGCUGAUUUUUAAAAAUAUUUUUAUUUAGAGAUAUGUUGUUGAAUACUAUUUCUUAUAAUAGAACUAUUUUGAUCUGUUUAUACACUAUGCUUGAAAGAACGUCAAUUAAAUUAUCUUUCUACAGAAAGGCUUUGACCUCAUUAUGCUCUAUUUAGUGCAUCAUGUUUAAAAUGACAUGCUUUACCUCUGCAUACCAUCACUGUUUGUUGCUAAAACAUUACUUCAUGAAGUUGAUGUUACUACCGAGAGUCUGAUAAUUUGUUUAAAAUAACUUGAUUAUACCUUGUGUGAGAUUUAUGUCUGUGCUGACAAUGUCUUCUCAGAUGUCUAUAAGCCUGAUAUUCUACAACCUCAGAUGUAUUUAGUGAAUCGUAACCAUUAACAUGACUAAUUUUGUUUCAUUGUAUCAAGUUUCAGAUGUUUAGUUCAAUGAUAAUGUUGACUACAUAUUCACUGCAUUAAAUAGAAAAGAAAAUAA